rnacentral:rRNA from 1 species
UACAGAGGGGGCAAGCGUUGUUCGGAAUUACUGGGCGUAAAGGGCGCGUAGGCGGCCGCCUAAGUCAGACGUGAAAUCCCUCGGCUCAACCGGGGAACUGCGUCUGAUACUGGGUGGCUUGAAUCCGGGAGAGGGAUGCGGAAUUCCAGGUGUAGCGGUGAAAUGCGUAGAUAUCUGGAGGAACACCGGUGGCGAAGGCGGCCUGCUGGGCAGUUGCUGACACUGAGGCGCGACAGCGUGGGGAGCAAACAGG